AUUGAACGCUGGCGGCGUGCUUAACACAUGCAAAUCGAUCGGUAACGCGGGGGCAACCCUGGCGACGAGAGGCGGACGGGUGAGGAACGCUUGGGAAUCUGCCUAUCAGCGGGGGACAACCCGGGGAAACUCGGGCUAAUACCGCAUACGCUCUACGGAGGAAAGCCGGGGACCGCAAGGCCUGGCACUGAUAGAUGAGCCCAAGUCGGAUUAGCUAGUUGGCGGGGUAAAAGCCCACCAAGGCGACGAUCCGUAGCUGGUUUGAGAGAACGACCAGCCACACUGGGACUGAGACGCGGCCCAGGCUCCUACGGGAGGCAGGAGUGGGGGAUUUUGGACAAGGGGCGCAACCCUGAUCCAGCCAUGGCGCGUGUGUGAAGAAGGCCUUCAGGUUGUAAAGCACUUUCGGCCGGAACGAAAUCGCCCGGAUUAAUAACCCGCGUGGAUGACGGUACCGGAAGAAGAAGCACCGGCUAACUACGUGCCAGCAGCCGCAGUAAUAC
rnacentral:rRNA from 1 species